rnacentral:miRNA from 15 species
GCUCAGCCCUGGGGGCACUUUCU